UACGUAGGGUGCGAGCGUUGUCCGGAAUUAUUGGGCGUAAAGAGCUCGUAGGCGGUUUGUUGCGUCGGCCGUGAAAACUAGAGGCUUAACUUUUAGCUUGCGGUCGAUACGGGCAGACUUGAGUUCGGUAGGGGAGACUGGAAUUCCUGGUGUAGCGGUGAAAUGCGCAGAUAUCAGGAGGAACACCGGUGGCGAAGGCGGGUCUCUGGGCCGAUACUGACGCUGAGGAGCGAAAGCGUGGGGAGCGAACAGG
rnacentral:rRNA from 1 species